AAGUCGUAACAAGGUAACCGUAGGUGAACCUGCGGUUGGAUCAUUAUUAAAUGAUUAUCCCACUGGGUUGCUGGACUCCGGUUCACCCUGGUGGGGUAUAAACCUAUUGUGCACUGUAAUUGUUUUUUGGGUAAGAGCUCCCUAGGGACGCUCUUGCCCAACACCUAAACCCCUUAAAUUUGGCUGAGAAGUAAAUUGUUAAUAGCAAACAACUUUUGACAACGGAUCUCUUGGCUCUC
rnacentral:misc_RNA from 1 species